rnacentral:rRNA from 1 species
UACGUAGGGGGCUAGCGUUGUCCGGAAUCAUUGGGCGUAAAGCGCGUGUAGGCGGCCCGGUAAGUCCGCUGUGAAAGUCGGGGGCUCAACCCUCGAAUGCCGGUGGAUACUGUCGGGCUCGAGUACGGAAGAGGCGAGUGGAAUUCCUGGUGUAGCGGUGAAAUGCGCAGAUAUCAGGAGGAACACCAAUUGCGAAGGCAGCUCGCUGGGACGGUACUGACGCUGAGACGCGAAAGCGUGGGGAGCGAACAGG